ACCUAAUAGAUACCCAGGUAGUCCACGCCCUAAACGAUGCGAACUGGAUGUUGGGUACAUUACGGUACUCAGUGUCGAAAGCUAAACGCGUUAAGUUCGCCGCCUGGGGAGUACGGUCGCAAGACUGAAACUCAAAGGAAUUGACGGGGGCCCGCACAAGCGGUGGAGUAUGUGGUUUAAUUCGAUGCAACGCGAAGAACCUUACCUGGCCUUGACAUCUGUCGAAUCCUGCAGAGAUGCGGGAGUGCCGCAAGGAACGACAAGACAGGUGCUGCAUGGCUGUCGUCAGCUCGUGUCGUGAGAUGUU
rnacentral:rRNA from 1 species